UUUCUUUUUGCUUUCCCUUCACGUUUCUGUCUCUUCAACUCAUAACAGCCACUGACUUUUCUUUCCCACCUGUAACAGAGAGUUGUGCUAGGGUUUCAGUAAGCUCCUCCUUUCCUCCAAGCUUGUAGUGCGUUCUCCCUCCGCAUAACUUCGUAAGCUGUAGUGGAAAUGUGGUGUUCUCCCUUGUGUGUUGUCGUUGGUUUUCCAACUAUUCAGAUAUGGGAGCCCCUGGUGAUCGUAGUGACGAUGGGAACAUUGCAGCUUAAUUGGUCAUGAGUUGAAGUUGGGCUUAUUGUUGAGCUCACAUUUGAAGAGCUUUUGUUGUUUUGUAAUCUCUUGCUUAUGAGCAAGCUUUUUGGACAACUGUUGAACUUUUAUAUUUUGUUCCUGGUAUUGUGUAGUGCCUUUGCUUUCCUUUUUGGUAUAUUUGGAUAACUGUAAAAUCCUUUAUACUAUAAGCCUC